CCUACGGGAGGCAGCAGUGGGGAAUUUUGGACAAUGGGCGCAAGCCUGAUCCAGCAAUGCCGCGUGCAGGAAGAAGGCCUUCGGGUUGUAAACUGCUUUUGUACGGAACGAAAAGGCUCUGGCUAAUACCUGGAGCUCAUGACGGUACCGUAAGAAUAAGCACCGGCUAACUACGUGCCAGCAGCCGCGGUAAUACGUAGGGUGCGAGCGUUAAUCGGAAUUACUGGGCGUAAAGCGUGCGCAGGCGGUGCUGUAAGACAGGCGUGAAAUCCCCGGGCUCAACCUGGGAAUUGCGCUUGUGACUGCAGCGCUGGAGUGCGGCAGAGGGGGAUGGAAUUCCGCGUGUAGCAGUGAAAUGCGUAGAUAUGCGGAGGAACACCGAUGGCGAAGGCAAUCCCCUGGGCCUGCACUGACGCUCAUGCACGAAAGCGUGGGGAGCAAACAGGAUUAGAUACCCUGGUAGUCCACGCCCUAAACGAUGUCAACUGGUUGUUGGGAAUUUACUUUCUCAGUAACGAAGCUAACGCGUGAAGUUGACCGCCUGGGGAGUACGGCCGCAAGGUUGAAACUCAAAUGAAUUGACGGGGA
rnacentral:rRNA from 1 species